CCCAGAAGCCAGGUGGCCAGCCAAGGCAAGGGAGGAAGAAACCCCAGCUCCAGGGGCUCAGCAGGCAAAGGGAAUCACUGAGUGGGGGCACCACCCGUGGACUCCAAUAUCUCAACCUCUCCCUCCACAGGUGGGGAGCUGUGGGGAAAGAUAAUGGGGAGCUCAGCUGCCACCUCAGUUCCCAGGGACCGGCUGGGGUGGCCGGGCAGCUGGAGGUCAGGGGAGGGGCUCUCAACUGGAGGUCGGAUGGGCCCUCAGGACCCAGUCCCCAUCCUUCCUCAACACUUGGGCCACUUAGUACUUCAGUGGCCUGGCCAGCAGUGGCUUCUACCAUGACAGCCAGAUAGGGGAGGGAGAGGAGGGCAGGAGAGGGGCAGACGCAGGAGGAGCAGCAAAUCUCACUUCUGCACCACAGGGCGGGGCCCAUCUGGAGUCCGCCAUCCUGGACAGGUAGCUUUGCAUCUCUGCUGAGAGGUUGGGGGGCAGACCAUGUGACCUCCCUUCCUCUGGCUUCUCUUUCUAGGUUGGAGGUGGGAGGAACAACCCCCACCAAACCCAGAGCCGAAAACUGAGGGAGUUUUACAGACAGGACGGAGCUCCUGCACCUCGGAGCCUCAGUUGGGAAUGACCUGGGGUCUUGUCCUGAAGCUGAGUCUGGUGAACGUGCCCCAUUUGUAACAUGAGGGGUACUUCUCUGGAGGGACUGUAUGUUGACAGUGGCAGAGUGGAGCCCUGAAGUCCACCUGAGUGAAUAUACCAGGGCUUGAGAAUGGGCUUUGAUCCUUCCAUCCCCGCAAAAGGCAUUUUCCUACCACCUCCCAAGGCUGAUGGGGCAGUGUGGGCAUUUCAAGUGUUGCAGUUCUGUUGCCCAGCCCUGGAUGCCUCCAGCCAAGCAAGGACAGAGGUGGGGGGCACAUCUCCAAGUCCCCUGGAAGUGGAAGUGGGGCUAUGCCCCUCCUUCCUGAGCCUGAGGACCUGGUAUACCUGGCCUG
rnacentral:lncRNA from 1 species